rnacentral:rRNA from 1 species
GUCCACGCUGUAAACGAUGGAUACUAGGUGUGGGGGGACUGACCCCUUCCGUGCCGCAGUUAACACAAUAAGUAUCCCACCUGGGGAGUACGAUCGCAAGGUUGAAACUCAAAGGAAUUGACGGGGGCCCGCACAAGCGGUGGAGUAUGUGGUUUAAUUCGAAGCAACGCGAAGAACCUUACCAGGGCUUGACAUCCCACGGCUGGAAUUAGAGAUAGUUCUUUCCCUUCGGGGACUGUGGUGACAGGUGGUGCAUGGUUGUCGU